rnacentral:tRNA from 1 species
CCUCCGAUAGCUCAGUUGGCAGAGCGGUGGACUGUAGUGAUUGACAGAGAAAUCCAUAGGUCGCUGGUUCAAAUCCGGCUCGGAGGA